rnacentral:rRNA from 1 species
AUACGGAGGGAGCAAGCGUUAUUCGGAAUCACUGGGCGUAAAGGACGCGUAGGCGGGUUUGUAAGUCAGGUGUGAAAUCCUACGGCUCAACUGUAGAACUGCACUUGAAACUACAGACCUAGAGUAUGGAAGGGGCAGAUGGAAUUAGUGGUGUAGGGGUAAAAUCCGUAGAUAUCACUAGGAAUACCGAAAGCGAAGGCGAUCUGCUGGGACAUUACUGACGCUGAGGCGUGAAAGCGUGGGGAGCAAACAGGAUUAGAAACCCGAGUAGUCC